rnacentral:lncRNA from 1 species
AUGUGCUGUGAGGAAAAACACUGUGACGCGGUCAGCCACGGAUGCAGAGGUCACCAAGCACACAAUCAGGUGUUCAACCUGGCAGCAGAUCGGGCAACGAGGAGACGUGUUCCACAUCCAUCCACACAAACGGACCAGAUGAGACUGUAUUUUUAUGAGUCCGUUGCGGGUCCGUGGCGGAUAUAUGUUUCAAUUUGCGUGUCCCAAACGGACCCGCCGUGGAGUGAGGAAAAACACUGUGACGCGGUCAGCCACGGAUGCAGAGGUCACCAAGCACACAAUCAGGUGUUCAACCUGGCAGCAGAUCGGGCAACGAGGAGACGUGUCCCACAUCCAUCCACACAAACGGAGUAAAUGAAAUGUUUAAACAAUAAACCAUCUUUUUAUUGAACCUCUUGCUGUUCACCAGUUAUUCAUUUUCUGA